rnacentral:lncRNA from 1 species
CUCUUUGCUCCUGCCAUCUGCAGCCCCCUGGGGAGCCCGGGCUCGCUCACUGACGGCCCUGCCUGGUGCUCCCUCAGCCGAAGGCCCUGGUUGGAGAGCAGCGCGGAGCCCUGUCCGAGGGUCCUGGGCCAUCUCCUGUCUUCCUCUUCAUUCCUCCCCCGGGAAGUGCUGAGCCAGACCUCCAGGUGACACUCCAGGUGACAACCUGAACUGACUUCAGUGAGCGGUCCACCACCAUGGGCCAAUGUGGAGCAGGGACUUUGCUGAGUCUUGAGUCCCCACAACUCACCCCUGGCCAUGGCUUUGUGACCCGGAGGCCUGAGAUCUGCUGGGGUAACGCCAUCGAUGGGGCUCGGGGUCUUCCGACAGCUCCUGCAUGGGCUCCUGGUCCAGCUGGAAGCUGCUGCUCAGACCCAGCGUGACCCUGGCCACUGCUAGUGCAUAGGGAGGCUUCCCUGCACACCCUCUCCCGGUCCUGGGGCUCUGGGCUCCCUUCGGCUUGCUUGCUGGGCAGGGAGCCGUCCCCAUCUUGUCCUGGAGCCACCCUCCACCCCCACUGCAGCCACAGUGACCAUCAGGAUGCUGGAGGACUGAUGGUGCAGACGGUCUGCAGACCAGUCACAGUCCAGGGGCAGGUGGUGGCCGGGCAUCAGAGGGGUUGCCCCUUCCACAUUCUUGACCAGGUUGAGUCUGAAUAGGAGGAGACUUUGGCCCUGGUCACUUCUUAUUUUAUUUUUGUUAUGUUUUUAAUUAAAUCGCCUCGGUCGCUGACACCCUGGAGAGACGGGGAACCGCCGCCUUGCAGUUUGUUAAUGAUACACCAUCUGUUUGCUCCCGGUGGUCACAUGAUCUUUGCUCUGCAGAACAUCCUGUCUCACUGGCCUAAACCAGUUUGUGGGUGAAAUGCUGGGGACGAUGCCAGAAGCUUCCUCUCCCUCUCUCACACACACUCUGUCCUUUCUCCUCCUGUUUCUUCUGCUCAUCGGAGGAUGAACCGUCCCCCCAGACGGGGCGGGUUUUGCACCGGCUGUUGAUGGCAUUAAACCCCACGUCUCCAUUGCAGUCUUUCAGCCUGACUUCAAGAGUCACCAGCCAAGACCACAGCCAGCCAGGCGGCGACGGCUCUGAGAGGGGGAGGCAGAGGCCAGGAAAGGCCCCCCCGGAGCCUGGGGGCACCCCUCAGCCAGGCUCAGAGGGAAGCUGGGACCCCUCCAGGGCAGAGGAGGAAGCCACAGUGACCUGGCCACUGAGUGUUGCGUGACUCAUUUUCUCUACCUAUGAAAUUCCCCAUCACUGACUCAUCUCACAUGACGGCCUCGAUCAGAUCUCUCAAGAGUGUCCGUCUCAGGAGCUUCCAAGAGCUUUCGAUUUCAUCCACUUCAAAGAAGAAGAAAUAACAGAGGCUGACCCUCUGGUGGAAAAUUCCACCUCCCUCCCCGAAGCGCUCUCUCAUGACGUGCAGGUGGGGUGGGGGACGCGGAGAAGAAUGAGACCCUGGAGGGACUGUGCUAUGGGACAGGAUAUGCAGGCUGUGAAAUGUCACUUAAAAAGCUUUCGGAAGCCCAGCACCCCCCAGUGUUCAACACCCCCAGACGCCGGCUUCAUGGCCCGGCCCUGCCAGGCCAGGCCUCAGCCACCAUGUGGUGGCUAAGGUGACGCGCCACCAUGGUUGGAGUUUGUCCUGGGAGUGCCCUUCUGAAGGGACCAGGAGUGCAGGGGGCGUUCUGGGUAGGGUAGGAGGAGAGGGCUCAGCCCAGGAUGCCCACAGGGGAAUCUCGACAGAGCAGGGGUGCUGCCCAGGACUGUGGGCCAGGCCCCCUGCAUGCUCCCCAGGCUCCUCCCGGAGGCCCUUCUCCUCUCCGAUGGGAUUUCGCCUUUUAAUGUCACUGGGGAAGUGGGGUCGACAGUUAUCUGAUGACCACCUCCUCCUCAGGGGCCUGAGCGGCUUUAGGAUCUGGGUGUGCGCGUGUGUCUUCAUGCCAACAGACGCGUCCUCUGGUGGGGAGCGGGCUCCUGUGUGUGAUUCGUCCCGAGGUGCCUCACACUGGAGUUCGUGAAGUACGUCUCCAGUCAGCAGAGCCAAUCGCCCGGAGCCUCUUAUCACCCUCGGAUAGGAGUCUGCAGCCCAUAAAACGCAGCACACAGAGAAAACAUCUGCACCUGCGCUUCUUGGCCCCGGAGAAGGUUCUUUAGUCAUCUGUGGGUGAAGCGUAGCCAUGGUUCUUCCCCUCGGUCCCUGGAAGCCCAGAGCGGCAUCUGGACGGACAGCCGCAGGGGCCUGCUGGGAUUGGGCUCCUCUGGUUUGCUGUGGGCCCCACGAGUCAGAUGGCAACGAGGGUUUCCCUGGACAAGCCACGGGGACGCUCGUCUCAGUGUUUUCCUGAAAUGCUGCCCGAGUGAGGAGACAGUUUUGGUCCCCUGACUCAUGGGUACGGAGGCCAUGUGAGUCCAUGGAAGGGACAGAGAAGAGUGUGGCCUGUGUUGGGGGGACAAGGACACUUUUAAACUCCUGCUAAGGAUCUUGGUCCGGCUUCACCAGAAGCACUCGGUCAUUAGGUCUUGGUCUUGGUCUUUGUGCACAAAGCACAGUGACAUGCUGUCACUGCGUCCUGGAGGUGACUCUUGGACAAGGACGUAGGUCACAUAAGGUGCCCUGACCAUUAUUCUGCUGAGGACACCUGACUGCUGAUGCCCUCCUCUCGUCCAUGCACCAGAAUUGGAUGAUUUUGUGAUCCAAACAGAGCAGAAAUAUCUCAUCCCUGUCCACAGCAAAGAAAAAGCUACAGACGAGGGACGCUGCAUGUCCCCGGAACUAGAACGAAUCGCUGGGGAGGCCUCCUCCCAGGAGGGGGAUUCGGAACGCUUACCUCGGAGCGGUUUUACCCUGGAAGAAAAACGGGGACGUGUCUUUGCAAGGAGCGUCCCCCCCAGCUCCCUGGGCAGCCUGCUGCCCGCCAGUUCUUCCGGGCCCUCGCUCCCCUGAUCCUCUGCCCCCCAGCCCCACCCAUCCUGCAGGACCCAGGUCAAUCCACCUCCUACGGCAUCGGGGUCACUCCCGUCCGGUGAACUCCCACAGGACAGGCCAAAUCAGGUCACGGUUCCUACGUGGCAUAGCCAACGUGCUCUGGAAGGUUCCGGUUGGCAGAGUCUCCCAGGCAGAGGGAGGUGCCAUCUGUCAUCCACUCCCUGCAGCCGCGGCGCCACGGGGGAGGGAAGGAGUCCUCGGGGCGCCUGCCCUCAGAGGUCCCAAGGUCCUACUCACACUGUGUGGGUCAAAGCCAGCUGAGCGGCUGCUGUAGUCACCGGGGGACCCUACAGAGAGCGUGGGGAGGGAGGAGCCCGACAGCUCCUUGGAGGACAGUAAUGGCCACUGGGGAGAGCCAGCCAGCCAGCCAUGCUGCCCACAACAGGGGCCACAGCCUUCCAAGUGCUGUCACCCGGAGACUUCUCUGGCUGGAGGAAGGUGGCCUGUGGGGUCCGCCAGCGUUGACCUGGCCUUCAGAGGGCCGGCCGAGACAGAACGGCCGGCGCAGCUCCUUGGGCAGGAAGCUUCCUUCUCACUGGUGGUUGUGCCCUGGUGUCUGGCGCAGGGCUGGGGGUCUCCCUGGGAGCUUUGUCUCACCCUUCAGUCAUUCAACAAGCAAGUGCGGUACCCAGCACUCGACGUGACGCAGGAAGAGGAAAAGGAACAAGGCAAAUCUCUGUCCCCAAGGGCCCCAGGAGGUUCCAGGGCCGAGAAAGCAGACCCAGGGCUGAGUGCCACCACCCUGUGGGAGGAAGCUUCACAAAACCCCUGGAGGGACGACUGACCAAGGGAGCCAGGAAGGUUUCCCCAGGGAAGGAGAUUUGACCUGGGCCUUAGGCGGACACGGACAGGAGGUGGAAAGGAAAGGCCCGCAGUCCCACUAGAGGCCAGGUAGGAAAAGCAGAGGAGAAGGCCACCUGUCAUCUGGACUGGAGACCUCCGGGGACGGCCAGACCUAAAGGACCCGACUGUACUCAUCGUAGGCUUCGUGGGCCACGUGCAAACUCUGCCACGUAUCCUCCGUGUGCGUGAGUGUGUUUACAACCCGUAAAAAAUACAAGAGCCACUCUUGGCUGGCAGCCCUAUAAACACAGACAAGCCAGGGCACACCCACCCGGGGGCUACGACGGCACAGACGGAAACCGAUGUCAGGGGAGGGGAAUGGAACCUCACCAGUGGCCAUGGGAAUGCUGGGACGGUGCGGGGUUUGUGGAGAGCGGCCCUGGCGGUCCCCCAAAAGUAAACCCAGAGUGACCCUCCGGCCAGCAACGCUGCUCCCCGGUGUGCUUAUAUCCAGGCCAGUUGGAAACAUAUGUCCACACAAAGACUUGCCUGUGGGUGUUCGUCAGCACCAUUAUAACAGACCCAAAGCGGAAACAACCCAGAUGUUCAUCAGCGGACGGGUGAUGGGAUGGAACAGUGUCUGCUCAUAGAAGGAGUUCUGCCACUUGCCACGACCUGGGUGACUUGAAAACGUGUCGAAGGAAAGAAAGCAGACCCGGGAGCCCACCGCCGUGUGAUCCCGUUUGUGUGAAGGGUCCAGAACAGGCAAAGCCACAGACAGACAGUGAUGAGUGGCUUCCUGGCCGGACGAGUCAGGGAGGGGGUGGGACUGCUGCUAAUGGGCACAGGUUUCUUUUGGGUGUUGAAAUCUUCUGGACUUAGAUAGUAGAGAGGGUUGCAUCUGUAGAGACACUAAAGACCCCAGAAUCCUAUGCUUUAUCUGUUUUUUGUGGUGUUGAGGAUUGGACCCAGGGCUCUCCACCGGCUUAUGUCCCCAGACCUUUAAUUUUUAUUUUUAAUUUUGAGACAGGGUCUCCCUCCAACCUGGGGUCCUCCUGCCUCCACCUCUGAGUUGCUGAGUCGUGGGUACGCAUCACCACGCUUGACUAGAUGACACGCCCUAUGAAGUGUGCGUGCUGCGGCCCGUGGACCCUGUCUGGAUCUGUGUUCAGUGGCGUGUUUCUCUGUAUAUAGGAGCUGCGGGGGAACAAGCACAAGUUGCUGCAGGGGACGCUGCCCCGGAGGUUUCCACCAGGAGUAGUGCUGAGGGGUUUGGUCUUGGUCCUCCAGCAGCGGGGAGCCAUCGAAGGUCCCAGCCUGGGAGCAGCACCAGCAGGAAGUGCUCCGUAGACCUGGGGACCGGCUGGGCAGGGAGGAGGCACACUGGAUCCCGCCAAGGGCACGGUGCACACUGAGUCCAGGAGCUCAGGAGGAGGCACGGCGGCCACUGGUCCCCACCAAGGGCAUGGUACACACUGAGUCCAGGAGCUAGGGAGACGGCGGGCAAUCACAGGGCGCCUCUCCCUCCAGAGCGCCCUCCUCAUCCAGGUGGAGAGCGUCAGGACCGAGCAGCAGGAAGUUAUGUUCUGAAUCCAAGAAGAUCAGAGAACCGGGGCUGGAGAGACACACCUGGGAGCCAGCAGUGCGCAGGCGGGACACGGAGAGGAACUGCCGCAGACCUUAGAGGACCCAGGAUGGAAACCAGGGCCUCUGCACUGAAGGGACAGGGAGAGGGCAGAAGGGGAGGUCAGAGCAGGAGGUUCCGAGGAGGGUGAAGCUGGAUGGUCCCAGGCAGGCGUCUCAGGCAAGAAGGGACCAAAGGAGCCUCUGCAGUUGGUGUUAGAGGCCACCACUCCUGACGAGAGCCACAGCCACGUCAUGACGGGGAUUAAGCUGUCCACCUGCCAAGGGUCAGAGGAGAACGGCGGCGGCAGCAGGAACCAGGAGGUAGAUGGAGCCGGAGCCUUGGAGCAAGCAGCAGGCACGGACGUGGGGUGGCAGAGGGAAGGUGGAAGACACAACCUGUCAGCAGGCCGAGGAGGAAGAGGGUGGCAGCAUCUCCUGCUAUCAAACGAGGAGAAGGAUCAGAGCGGGAGGCUGGGACGCUGCCCAGAGUCCGGAGAAGGGGCGGCCCCAGCUCAGCCGUUCCAGGGCGCCUGAUCUUGUCCUGCUUGUGGGGAGAAGACCCAGGCUCGAGGCCCAAAGGAAGUGGAGGCAGGCAGGGCUCCCCUCACACCGGAGUCCUGCGGCCUCUACCCUGGAGUCUGGUUAGAUGUCUGGUUGGGUAUGCUGGCAACAUCACUGCGGUGGUGGAUGGCAUGUGUUAUUUAGUCAGUGUGGCCGAGGUUGCUGUGAAAGGAUUUGGUGGGUGGGGUUCACAUUUACAAUCCAUUGGCCAGAAAGAGAGGAAGCUACUCUCAAGCCUGGUGGACCUUGUCCAGUCAGUUGGGGGCCUAAGAGCCAAACCCGAGGUCCCCAGGGAAGAUAUCCUGCCUCAGUGGUCACCACAGCAGUGGGGAGGAGAAACAGGGAUUUCAUGUGCACUGAGUACAGCUUCAGUGGGGAAGGGUAGGCAGGAGGAGGCUGCCUGGGGAGGCCGAGGCAAGAGGAUCCCACGCUCAAAGCCAGCUUCAGCAACUUAGCAAGACCCCAAGCAACUCAGUGAGAUACUGUCUUUAAAUAAAAUGUAAAAAGGGCUGGAGAUGUGGCUCAGGGGUUAAGUGCCCUAGGGUUCAAUUCCUGGUACAAAAAAAAAAAAUCUGUUGCUCAUAAGCUACAUAGUUUGUGGUGCCUUAUUACAGCUGCCCAAAUGGACAAAAAUUACCACAAUUAAAAACAAAGCCAAAGAGCUGCACUGCAACCCACCUAGACCCCUAGGCUGCAGGUCUGCCCUGCAAUUUUAGAUGUGGCAGCCCCUCUGACCACGAUGGACCCAACUCCUUAAAAUACAUCUCUCCAUAAAUCUGCCCUGUAGGCUCCGUGUCUCUGGCCAACCCUGACUGACGGUGGUCUUUAGACCUGGGCUCAGCCAUUAGCAAUUUGGUAACUGGAAGCCUGACGUGACUCCCUGGCUCGGGUCAGUGGACAUCUGGUGGAGAUUCCAUUCUGUUCUGCGAUGAGACACUCUGGCCAGCUUGGACCCUGCCCACCCUCGCCCUCCUCUUCUCUCUUAUCCUAGGUGGGAUCUGGAGUCGGGGCCGUUGGGGCAGCCUCCGGUGUUGUGAAUGGAGAAGGGCACACCCAGCCCCUGACCCUCGGCUCUGGCCUCGGUUUCUGGCCUCUAUUAAGAAUGGCCUAUCCCACCCGGUCCUGGACAUGGCCGACCAUCCCUGUGACCCCUAUGGUGGCGUCCAAGAGCCCACUGGGGCCUCUGGUGAUCAAGUCUUGUGCUCUUUGUCCCAGCCAGCCUGAUCGGAGGCUUCUUCUGGCCCCUGAUGCUCAGAGUCACUUGAGUGUCCCUCUCCUGGGGUUGGGACCUCUUAUCUAGUUUUUGUCAACCACACUGGGUGCGUGGGUCUCCAGAAGGCUGCACGUGAGCUCAUCCGUUCAAGUACCUUCGAGGAGCUUUUUGGGAAGGCUGUCCUCUCUGGGGUCAGGGGGACCGGGGUCAGGAGAGGGCAUUUUGGGGGUUGACAAUGCCAGUCUAUAAUGUGUGCACAGGCAGUGCUACAACAUUUUUCUCUCCCCAACCGGCCAGACCUUCCUCUGAUCCAGAGAAGCAGUGUGUGCAAAGAACACAGGGUUAGCCGUCAGUGAUGCAGGUUCUCGCCCCAGCCUCCCGCCCCUGCCUGGUCCCGGGUGAGCUCCUCACGGGGCCUGAGCCUUGGUUCCCCCAACAGCAACGCCAAGAGCAGGGUGGUCUGCAGGUGCUGCAGCCGGUCUCCUGUGGCACGUCUGUAGGAGCUCAGGGUCUGGGACCGC